GUAGUCAUAUGCUUGUCUCAAAGAUUAAGCCAUGCAUGUCUAAGUAUAAGCAAUUUGUACGGUGAAACUGCGAAUGGCUCAUUAUAUCAGUUAUGGUUUAUUUGAUAGUACCUUACUACAUGGAUACCUGUGGUAAUUCUAGAGCUAAUACAUGCUUAAAACCCCGACUUCGGAAGGGGUGUAUUUAUUAGAUAAAAAACCAAUGCCCUUCGGGGCUCCUUGGUGAAUCAUAAUAACUUAUCGAAUCGCAUGGCCUUGCGCUGGCGAUGGUUCAUUCAAAUUUCUGCCCUAUCAACUUUCGAUGGUAGGAUAGUGGCCUACCAUGGUGGCAACGGGUAACGGGGAAU
rnacentral:rRNA from 1 species